rnacentral:rRNA from 1 species
AGAGUUUGAUCAUGGCUCAGGACGAACGCUGGCGGUGUGCCUAAAACAUGCAAGUCGAACGGACCUUCGGGUCAGUGGCGAACGGCGGAGUAAUACAUGAGUAACGUGCCCUUCAGACGGGGAUAUACAGUCGAAAGACUGGGCAAUACCGGAUGAGAUGGCGAGGAGGCAUCUCCUUGUCAUGAAAUGGUUUUUCGCUGAAGGAGCGGCUCAUGACACAUCAGAUAGUUGGUGGGGUAACGGCCUACCAAGUCUACGACGUGUAGGGGGUCUGAGAGGAUGAUCCCCCCGAGUGGGACUGAGACACGGCCCACACACCUACGGGUGGCAGCAGUUGGGAAUCUUGCGCAAUGGGGGAAACCCUGACGCAGCGACACCGCGUGGAGGAUGAAGGAUUUCGGUCUGUAAACUCCUUUUGCUAGGAAAGACUUAGGACGGUACCUAGCGAAUAAGCUCCGGCUAACUACGUGCCAGCAGCCGCGGUAAUACGUAGGGAGCAAGCGUUGUCCGGAUUUACUGGGCGUAAAGGGCGUGUAGGCGGUCUGUUAAGUGUGACGUGAAAUCUUCAGGGCUCAACCCGAAAAUUGCGUCGCAGACUGGCAGACUAGAGGGAAGCAGAGGUUGAUAGAAUUCCUGGUGUAGCGGUGACAUGCGUUGAUAUCAGGAGGAAUACCGAUGGCGAAGGCAGUCAACUGGGCUUUUCCUGACGCUGAGGCGCGAAAGCGUGGGUAGCAAACAGAAUUAGAUACUCUGGUAGUCCACGCCCUAAACGAUGGAUGCUAGGCGUAAGGGGUAUCGACCCCCUUUGUGCCGUAGCUAACGCAUUAAGCAUCCCGCCUGGGGAGUACG